GCAUAUAUAGGUCAGUUUUUUAUUUGUCAUAUGUAGGUUAACACAGGGUCAACGGUACAAUGAAAUGCGUUUGACAAGACAAUGGGUCAGCUCAGCGAUGAUAUUACAUGGAUAAAAUUAAGG